rnacentral:rRNA from 1 species
AGAGUUUGAUCAUGGCUCAGGACGAACGCUGGCGGCGUGCCUAAUGCAUGCAAGUCGAGCGACGCAUACUGGAGGGGUAACCCACCGGUAUGACGGAGCGGCGAACGGGUGAGUAACACGUGAGCAACCUGCCCCGAAGAUCGGGAUAGCCCAGGGAAACCUGGAUUAAUACCGGAUACCCUCUAAUACUCGCAUGGGUGAAUGAGGAAAUGCUUUUGUGCUUCGGGAUGGGCUCGCGGCCUAUCAGCUUGUUGGUGGGGUAACGGCCUACCAAGGCGUCGACGGGUAGCUGGUCUGAGAGGACGAUCAGCCACACUGGGACUGAGACACGGCCCAGACUCCUACGGGAGGCAGCAGCAGGGAAUCUUGCGCACUGGGCGAAAGCCUGACGCAGCAACGCCGCGUGGGGGAUGACGGCCUUCGGGUUGUAAACCCCUUUCAGGAGGGAAGAAAUUGACGGUACCUCCAGAAGAAGCCCCGGCCAACUACGUGCCAGCAGCCGCGGUAAUACGUAGGGGGCAAGCGUUGUCCGGAAUUAUUGGGCGUAAAGAGCUCGUAGGCGGCUCAGCAAGUCGGCUGUGAAAUCCCGAGGCUCAACCUCGGAACUGCAGUCGAUACUGCUGUGGCUAGAGUCUGGUAGAGGAGAAUGGAAUUCCCGGUGUAGCGGUGAAAUGCGCAGAUAUCGGGAGGAACACCAGUAGCGAAGGCGGUUCUCUGGGCCAGUACUGACGCUGAGGAGCGAAAGCGUGGGGAGCAAACAGGAUUAGAUACCCUGGUAGUCCACGCCGUAAACGUUGGGUACUAGGUGUGGCGUCCCGAUCAACGGAUGCCGUGCCGAAGCUAACGCAUUAAGUACCCCGCCUGGGGAGUACGGCCGCAAGGCUAAAACUCAAAGGAAUUGACGG